GCUUCAUGGUCUUGCUGCGCCCUGGAGAUCUAGGGGUGAAACGGGUCGAGUCUGUCCUCUCCCAGAGCUUAAGGUGCACUGAAAGAGUUUGAUUACUCAGUCAAAACCUAAGUAUCCUGUUGGGAGAAGAACACUCAUUUUAGUGGCACUGUUCUAUUCUUUGGAUGAAUUGAAUAGUUACUAAUCCAGCCACAGAAGAAAGACACAGGAGAGGCUGAAACAUCACCUCUUGAGGGUCUCCUUUCUGGUGAUUUAUUCAGAUAUUGGCACAUGUGACUCAAUAAUGGCCAAUACUAUGUGAAGGGACAUCUUCUGGGGAGUCUUCCUCCUUUUCUUCCGGAUUCUUUGUGUCUGAAUGUGAUGCCUGGAGAUGCAACAGCAGUCUCACUACCAGCACGAGGAUGAAGCUGAUACCCAGUGUUCAGAAAACUCAUUAGCUUCCAACCUCCUCAAUUAGGCAGAACAAACAUGCAUUACUCCAAAUUGCCCCGCACUGCGAUAGAGACAGAGUUCAAGCAGAAUGUUGGCCCACCACCCAAGGAUCUGACCGCUGAAGUUUACUUCCCUUCAAUCAAAUCGAGAUCACAUCUUCCUGCAGUUUUCUAUAAUCAGUAUUUCAAGCAUCCAAAAUGUGUAGGAGAAUAUGGACCCAAGAACGGAGCAGAGAGACAAAUAGAGGAACGGAAAGUUUUGCCUACAACCAUGAUGUUCUCAAUGUUAGCUGACUGUGUUCUAAAAUCCACUCCAAUUCCCAUUUUGGGAGUUGCUAUGUGAUGAAGGUCUGCCCCUGUGGUGUUGGGACAACUUGCUCAUGGAGUUGCAGUUCUUGCCUAACAGGAACCCACCAUGAGCUGCCUCCUGCCCCUGAGGGGAGGAGUCCAUCCUCUUCUAUAGGAUACACCUGUUGGCUUGUUUGUCCUUCCUUCCCCUUUCUGGGAAUUGUUCUCCAUCAACAUGUUUAUGGGGACAGCCAUUUCUAUACAAUGUGACCUGUAUUGAUCUAUUUUGUGUUGCUAUAAAUAAAUACCUGAGGCUGGUAAUUUUUAAAGAAGAGAGGUUAAUUUGGCCCAUAAUUCUGCAGGCUGUACAAGAAGCAUGGCACCAGCAUCUGCUUCUGGUGAGGCCGCAGGAAGCUUCCACUCAUGGUGGAAGGUGGAGGAGGAGCAGGCGUGUUAUAUGGCAAGAGCGAGAGCAAGAGAGAGAGCAGAAGGUGUCAGGCAACCAGCUCUCAUGUGAACUAAUGAGCAAGGACUCACUCAUCACCAAGGGGAUGGCCCCAGCCAUUCCUGAGAGAUCCGCCCCCUAACCCAAACACCUCCCACCAAGCCCCACCUCCAAGACUGGCGGUCAAAUUUUAACAUGAGACCUUCAUUAUCAAUGUUUGUGUAUCUACACAUCCAAAGUAGAUCAUCAUCUUUGGUCUUUGGGAGAUACACCAGAGAAAAACAACUCCUCUGGCCUGGGAGAUUUUGACUUUCUGCUUUUCAUGUGUGUUUGCUUUUAUCGAAGAGGGAAUCUGCUACUUGCCUGAUGCAACUGCAUUUGGAUACUGAACUGGGGCCCAAAGAGUCUCAAAUCACUGCCUGGGAAUGCCAAUUUCUCAUCAUGAAUUAGAAAUCAAUUCUAGCAGCCUCCCUGCUAAGUAAAAAAAUUACAUAAUUCUUUCUGCACUACUGCAUUAGGCUGAUUUUUUUUUUCCUUUUCCUGAAUGUACAGUAAAUCUCUAGUGGUUUAAGCCAUGGUGCCUCUGCUUAAACACAAUAUGAAAUCGCUACCAAAUUUAAAUAAAAAAUAAAUUCUGUGUUGUGUUAGGAGUCUCUCCUGCCAAAAACUCUCACACAAUUAACACACUAACAGAAUGUGUUGCUAAUUUCAUGCCACUGGAGUCUUUUCUGCUUCAGAAUAUAGAAACAAAAUCAGGUCAGAGCUCCAAUAAUAACAGGAUUUUGUUAAAAUAUACAGCCCUGUGUUGUAGAUACGUUGUAAGAAUGGGUGAAAAGGGGACUCACAGUGAUGCACGAAAUAGCUCACUACUGCAAAUAGAAGUGGGAGAACUUGUCUCCAGCUUCUUUGCAGAGAGAGAGAGGGGGAGAGAGGAGAGAGAGGGUGGAGAGAGAUUAGGGGAGAGAGGUAGAGAGAGAGAGAGGAAGAGAGACUGAGAGAGAGGGAGACGGGUAGAGGGAGAGGAGAGAGAGAGGAUGGGAGAAAGGGAAAGAGGAGAGAGAGAGGGAGACAAGAAGAGAGAGGGAGAAAGGAGAGAGAGGAUAGAGAGAGAGAAAGAGAGAGGAGAGAGAGUUAGGAGAAAGAUAGGGAGAGAGAAGAGAGGGAUAGGGACAGAGAGGCAGCGAGGAGAGAGAGAAGCAAGAGACAGGGAGAGAGGAGAGAGAGAAGGAGGGAGAGAGAAAAGGAGGGACAGAGAGAGAAGGAGGUAGAGAGGGAGAAAGAAGAGGACGGAGAAAGAUAAAAAGAGAGAGGAGAGAGAGGUAGAGAGAAAGAGAGAGAGGAGAGAGAGGUGGGGGGAGAGAAGUAGAGAAAGAGGGAAGAAAGAGAGGCUAGGAGAGAGACAGGGAGAAGAGAGAGGAAAGAGGGACAGAGGGAGAGAGAGAAAGAGAGAGAGAAGAGAGGCAGAGAGAGAGAGUUAGUUCAGCUCGGUCCAAGCCCAGACCCACCAGGUUCUGUGGGAAAGGGUUUCAUUAUCAAUGUUAGUCCAUCCAGACAUCCGCAUACUUUUACAGGGGGAGGCAAACGCCAGGCAAAGAAACUAGGGAAACACAAGCCCAAUAAAUCACAGCUAGGAUUCUGAUUCCCCUGGUUCAUUCUGAGGCUUCCUCCCUCCACCUCUUAGCCUUCUUACACUGGGCCUCUUCUUUUCCAUAACAAAAACAGCGAUAAUGAAAAUAUUUUGGCAGCAUUGAAGGCCUUUCACAUUGUGACCCUGACCUCCAAAUCAAUUUUCUUUAUUCUUAACCUGACCUUGGCAUCCAUUCUCCCUGGCGUUCAAUAUUAGUUACAAAAUCUUGAACUCCCCGAGACCUUCCCUCCUCCCCAGAUAACCAAGGCAGGCCACACUGGGGAAGCUCUGACGAGGACAGAGAGAGAAGGCUUCUCGACAAAGAAAAAUCAUAACGAGAUGAACAAGCCCGAUGCCUUCUAUAGGAGUCUCAUUUGCACCAAAUGCUAUUAGCCCCAUUAUUUACUCAGACAACGGUGCAGGCAGCCUGGGCUCCCUGCUUGCGCGGGGCGCUGUGGAGAGCACCAUGCAUCACCAGCCGGCCCGGGCGCUUCCCUUAAAUAGUAAUAUGUAAGGUAGAGCAUGUUACAUUUCAUCCAUCACCCAUGGGCUCACCGAGCGCAGAGACUGGAGAAAUUGCGCACAUUUCUCCGUUGCUGCAUUAAUACUAGAAAGGGAGUGAACUGAACAGAGAAAGUGCCAAUUUCAGCACACAUGUUAAAAAGAGAAGCAAAGAAUAGCAGAAAAAGAAAGCAUCUCCCGUACUGAGAUGCUGGGGUGUGGGGGAGGUUUUUAAAGGAGAAGACUGCUUUUCAGAACUCCUGUGCAUUGACUAUGAGAAUAAGGACCCACUGAGACAAGAGUUCGGGGUCAGCAUACAUUUAGGAGAAGAAGUUGGCUGGCAGGGGCUAUUUUUCUGCAAAUUAGUUUUCUCUCAAGGGUAACGGUGGGGGAGGAGCAGAGGAAAAUGAAUUGGAGCCCGUUGAAUAAUCGCGUAUUGUUCGGCCGGUUGCGGUGACCUAUGAACUGAUGCUCCGAGAAGUGUUUUCAGGCCUUCCUUUUAUAUGGGCGAGGAUGGGAAGCCUCUUACAGCUGUUGACGAGUGUCCUGAAGGGGCAACGAUGGGGAUGGCAGUGUGGCCCCACGAACAAUGGUCACAGAGCAUCGGCUCCACUUGGCAAGAGAGGCACCGUCUGCUGGUCGGUACAGCUGACCGCAGGGCUGGACAGGUGGCCAGGCAGGAAGGCGAGAAGAGGCACGGUUCAAACUUUAUGCUGAUCACAAAGAAUUGAGAAAAGGGGCAAAGUGAAGAAAUACAGUGUAGCAGGACGCGAUGGAUCGACUUUCCUUGGGGAUUAGAAGGAGCAAGAGCUCUGCAGUGAUUCAAACAGUUCAGUGCAAAUGGAAUUCUUCUAGGAUGUUUACAAAAUAAAAGUGAAUC
ensembl:lncRNA C5orf64 chromosome 5 putative open reading frame 64